GACGAACGCUGGCGGCGUGCCUAAUACAUGCAAGUCGAACGCUUUGAUUUUCACCGGAGCUUGCUCCACCGAAAAUCAAAGAGUGGCGGACGGGUGAGUAACACGUGGGCAACCUGCCCAACAGAGGGGGAUAACACUUGGAAACAGGUGCUAAUACCGCAUAAUUUGUUUUUCCGCAUGGAAGAAUAAUAAAAGACGCUUCGGUGUCACUGUUGGAUGGGCCCGCGCUGCAUUAGUUAGUUGGUGGGGUAACGGCCUACCAAGACCAUGAUGCAUAGCCGACCUGAGAGGGUGAUCGGCCACACUGGGACUGAGACACGGCCCAGACUCCUACGGGAGGCAGCAGUAGGGAAUCUUCGGCAAUGGACGAAAGUCUGACCGAGCAACGCCGCGUGAGUGAAGAAGGUUUUCGGAUCGUAAAACUCUGUUGUUAGAGAAGAACAAGUGAGAGAGUUACUGUUCUCACCUUGACGGUAUCUAACCAGAAAGCCACGGCUAACUACGUGCCAGCAGCCGCGGUAAUACGUAGGUGGCAAGCGUUGUCCGGAUUUAUUGGGCGUAAAGCGAGCGCAGGCGGUUUCUUAAGUCUGAUGUGAAAGCCCUCGGCUCAACCGAGGAAGGUCAUUGGAAACUGGGGAACUUGAGUGCAGAAGAGGAGAGUGGAAUUCCAUGUGUAGCGGUGAAAUGCGUAGAUAUAUGGAGGAACACCAGUGGCGAAGGCGACUCUCUGGUCUGUAACUGACGCUGAGGCUCGAAAGCGUGGGAAGCAAACAGG
rnacentral:rRNA from 1 species